AUGACAGUGAAGAUCAGCAACGUUUAUAGGCAUCUACGGCGGCGGCAAGUGGUAGUUGUAUACAGCCGCUGGUCCCCAAAUCGAGCUCAUCGCCACGCAAGAUGGAGCUUGAGGCCGCACCUAAACGACGCUGCCGCAUCUUGCAACACCUCCCUGGUGCCCCCGCUUCAGCUUCGCCUGGCCACGACGCCGAGGCACCUCCGCACGCCUGCAACUCCUCCCCGUUGCCCCGCUUCAGCUUCACUCGGCCACGACGGCGCCUCGCUGCUGCCUCGCCACAACUUCGCCCGGCCCUGCUGCCGCGCCUGGAUGGAUGACACAACCGCACGCCCGCAACGCCUUCCUGCUGCCGCACCGGCACCGAAAUUUCGCCCGGCCACGGCACCAACAUCAGGCUGGAACAUCGUUAGCGCCGGCGGACAUAGUCUGCAUUAA
rnacentral:rRNA from 1 species